AUUGAACGCUGGCGGCAGGCCUAACACAUGCAAGUCGAACGGUAACAGAAAGCAGCUUGCUGCUUUGUUGACGAGUGGCGGACGGGUGAGUAAUGUCUGGGAAACUGCCUGAUGGAGGGGGAUAACUACUGGAAACGGUAGCUAAUACCGCAUAACGUCGCAAGACCAAAGAGGGGGACCUUCGGGCCUCUUGCCAUCGGAUGUGCCCAGAUGGGAUUAGCUAGUAGGUGGGGUAACGGCUCACCUAGGCGACGAUCCCUAGCUGGUCUGAGAGGAUGACCAGCCACACUGGAACUGAGACACGGUCCAGACUCCUACGGGAGGCAGCAGUGGGGAAUAUUGCACAAUGGGCGCAAGCCUGAUGCAGCCAUGCCGCGUGUAUGAAGAAGGCCUUCGGGUUGUAAAGUACUUUCAGCGGGGAGGAAGGGAGUAAAGUUAAUACCUUUGCUCAUUGACGUUACCCGCAGAAGAAGCACCGGCUAACUCCGUG
rnacentral:rRNA from 1 species